rnacentral:rRNA from 1 species
UACAGAGGGGGCAAGCGUUAUUCGGAAUUAUUGGGCGUAAAGGGCGCGUAGGCGGCUUGGCAAGUGGAUGGUGAAAUCCCUCGGCUUAACCGAGGAACUGCCGUCCAAACUGCUUAGCUUGAGACCGGGAGAGGUGAGUGGAAUUCCCAGUGUAGCGGUGAAAUGCGUAGAUAUCGAGAGGAACACCAGAGGUGAAGACGGGUUGCUGGGCUGACACUGACGCUGAGGCGCGAAAGCCAGGGGAGCAAACGGG